GGACUACUGGGGUAUCUAAUCCCGUUUGCUCCCCUAGCUUUCGCACCUCAGCGUCAGGAACCCUCCAGGAAACUGCCUUCGCCUUUGGUGUUCUUCCGAAUCUCUACGCAUUUCACCGCUCCACUCGGAGUUCCGUUUCCCUCUCUGGCCCUCAAGUCGCACCGUCUUUGCAGCACUCUCCCAGGUAAGCCGGGAGCUGUCACCGCAAACGCGUACGACCGCCUGCAUGCCCUUUACGCCCAGUAACUCCGGACAACGCUCGCCCCCUACGUAUUACCGCGGCUGCUGGCAC
rnacentral:rRNA from 1 species